rnacentral:lncRNA from 1 species
CUUGUGCCCAACACAGGGUGCUGAGUCAAGAGCAACAGGCCAAAGAUGCUGAUUCGUGAGGGAUGUCACUCUAUGAACAUUAAAAAGCUCUGUGGACAUUGGCUUCACACUGAUGGAUCAUAUUGAAAGCACUUGGUUCCCAGAAGAAACAGCAUAGAGACUGCAAAAUAGAAGUGUGGGUUCCAAGAAAAUACGCACACUGUCCAGGAAGCAAGAGGAGCCAAGACAAGGGGAGAGAAAUAAGGCUGAGGCUGGAUGCCGGGUCCACGUGGUCCG